rnacentral:lncRNA from 1 species
GGGGCAUCUCCGCAGCUACUGCAUGCAGUGAUCAUGGGGGCCCCAGACCUGGGCUUAGGCAAGGGCACUGUGUUGUUGUACAUCACCAAACACUUCAAGCUGAGGCACCUCUCCAGCAGGGACUGCUCCAGGACAACAUGCUACAGGGCACAUAAAUUGGUAUGUUAGCCAAGGCUUUUCUUGACCAAGGGAAACUCAUCCCAAAUGAUGUUACGACUCGGCUGGCCCUUCAUGAACUGAAAAAUCUCACCUAAUAUAGCUGGUUUUCCAAGGACACUGCCAUAGGCAGAAGCCCUAGAUGAGCUUAUCAGAUAGACACAAUGAUUAACUUGUAUGUGCCCUUGGAGGUCAUUUAAACAACACUUCACUGCUUGCUGUUCAUCUAGCUAGUGGCCGAGUCGACUACAUUGAAUUCAACCGUCCCCAAACUGUGGGUAUUGCUGAUCUGACUGGGAAGCCUCUCAUUCGGCCUGAGAAUAAUAGACCAGAGACACAGUUAUCAAGAGACUGAAGACUUAUGGAGCCAGUCCCAGAACUUUACCAGAAAAAAACAGGGAUGUUGGAAACACUCUCCAGAGCAGAAACCAACAAGAUUUAACGUCAUGUUUAUGCUUUCCUACAAACUAAAGUUCCACAAAAUCAGAAAGCCCCAGUUACUCCAUGA